rnacentral:tRNA from 2 species
GCUGGUGUAGCUCAAUUGGUAGAGCAGCUGAUUUGUAAUCAGCCGGUUGCGGGUUCGAGUCCCAUCACCAGCUC